rnacentral:rRNA from 1 species
UACGAAGGGUGCAAACGUUGCUCGGAAUUAUUGGGCGUAAAGCGCACGUAGGCGGCUUGGCAAGUCGGAUGUGAAAUCCCUCGGCUCAACCAAGGAAGUGCAUCCGAAACUGCCGAGCUUGAGUACUUAAGAGGAUCGCGGAAUUCCCGGUGUAGAGGUGAAAUUCGUAGAUAUCGGGAGGAACACCAGUGGCGAAGGCGGGUCUCUGGGCCGAUACUGACGCUGAGGAGCGAAAGCGUGGGGAGCGAACAGG